GAAUACUUGUAAUCGGGCUUCGGCCUGGCUUUGUAAUCUUCUUUUGAUCUUGAAUGAAAUCAGCCUUAAACUUUUUUUCCCCUGCCUGUUUUUCUUUCUUCCAUGUGUUGUAGAAUGCGUCCGAACUCAUAGGUUGCCGACUCAUAUAGGUCGGUUAGGUCGUUCGGCAACUCGCGCUGCCACGAAGGUAGGUCAAGUCCCGACUUUGGACCGGCCUUCGGUGGUCGAGGUCGUAAGUCGGGCGUCCUUCCUCCGGCCAUGAGUCGGGUGCGUCCGUUGAGUCGGAAGCCGACUAACUGCGGGAUAAAAGUGCGGUAGUCGGGUCUCUUCCGACGCGUUCAGUCGGCUGUCGUCCGGCG
rnacentral:lncRNA from 1 species